CGCAUGGACGAAGUCUGACGGAGCAACGCCGCGUGAGUGAUGAAGGUUUUCGGAUCGUAAAGCUCUGUUGUUAGGGAAGAACAAGUGCCGUUCAAAUAGGGCGGCACCUUGACGGUACCUAACCAGAAAGCCACGGCUAACUACGUGCCAGCAGCCGCGGUAAUACGUAGGUGGCAAGCGUUGUCCGGAAUUAUUGGGCGUAAAGGGCUCGCAGGCGGUUUCUUAAGUCUGAUGUGAAAGCCCCCGGCUCAACCGGGGAGGGUCAUUGGAAACUGGGGAACUUGAGUGCAGAAGAGGAGAGUGGAAUUCCACGUGUAGCGGUGAAAUGCGUAGAGAUGUGGAGGAACACCAGUGGCGAAGGCGACUCUCUGGUCUGUAACUGACGCUGAGGAGCGAAAGCGUGGGGAGCGAACAGGAUUAGAUACCCUGGUAGUCCACGCCGUAAACGAUGAGUGCUAAGUGUUAGGGGGUUUCCGCCCCUUAGUGCUGCAGCUAACGCAUUAAGCACUCCGCCUGGGGAGUACGGUCGCAAGACUGAAACUCAAAGGAAUUGACGGGGGCCCGCACAAGCGGUGGAGCAUGUGGUUUAAUUCGAAGCAACGCGAAGAACCUUACCAGGUCUUGACAUCCUCUGACAAUCCUAGAGAUAGGACGUCCCCUUCGGGGGCAGAGUGACAGGUGGUGCAUGGUUGUCGUCAGCUCGUGUCGUGAGAUGUUGGGUUAAGUCCCGCAACGAGCGCAACCCUUGAUCUUAGUUGCCAGCAUUCAGUUGGGCACUCUAAGGUGACUGCCGGUGACAAACCGGAGGAAGGUGGGGAUGACGUCAAAUCAUCAUGCCCCUUAUGACCUGGGCUACACACGUGCUACAAUGGACAGAACAAAGGGCAGCGAAACCGCGAGGUUAAGCCAAUCCCACAAAUCUGUUCUCAGUUCGGAUCGCAGUCUGCAACUCGACUGCGUGAAGCUGGAAUCGCUAGUAAUCGCGGAUCAGCAUGCCGCGGUGAAUACGUUCCCAGGCCUUGUACACACCGCCCGUCACACACGAGAGUUUGUAACACCCGAAGUCGGUGAGUACCUUUAUGGAGCAGCGCGAAGUGGACAGAUGAUGGGGUGAGUCGUAAACACAGGGG
rnacentral:rRNA from 1 species